rnacentral:rRNA from 1 species
GAUGAACGCUAGCUACAGGCUUAACACAUGCAAGUCGAGGGGUAACGAGAGGAAAGCUUGCUUUCCUUGUCGACGACCGGCGCACGGGUGAGUAACGCGUAUCCAACCUGCCCCCAACUAGGGAAUAACCUUGCGAAAGUAAGACUAAUACCCUAUAAUUUCCUCAGAUGUCAUCUGACGAGGAAUAAGGAUUUAUCGGUUGUGGAUGGGGAUGCGUCUGAUUAGCUUGUUGGCGGGGUAACGGCCCACCAAGGCAACGAUCAGUAGGGGUUCUGAGAGGAAGGUCCCCCACAUUGGAACUGAGACACGGUCCAAACUCCUACGGGAGGCAGCAGUGAGGAAUAUUGGUCAAUGGGCGGAAGCCUGAACCAGACAAGUAGCGUGCAGGAUGACGGCCCUAUGGGUUGUAAACUGCUUUUAUACAGGAAUAAAGUUAGCCACGUGUGGUUAUUUGUAGGUACUGUAUGAAUAAGGACCGGCUAAUUCCGUGCCAGCAGCCGCGGUAA